AGCGAACGCUGGCGGCAGGCCUAACACAUGCAAGUCGAACGGAUCCUUCGGGAUUAGUGGCGGACGGGUGAGUAACACGUGGGAACGUGCCCUUUGGUUCGGAACAACUCAGGGAAACUUGAGCUAAUACCGGAUGUGCCCUUCGGGGGAAAGAUUUAUCGCCAUUGGAGCGGCCCGCGUCUGAUUAGCUAGUUGGUGAGGUAACGGCCCACCAAGGCGACGAUCAGUAGCUGGUCUGAGAGGAUGAUCAGCCACACUGGGACUGAGACACGGCCCAGACUCCUACGGGAGGCAGCAGUGGGGAAUCUUGCGCAAUGGGCGAAAGCCUGACGCAGCCAUGCCGCGUGAAUGAUGAAGGUUUUAGGAUUGUAAAAUUCUUUCAGCGGGGACGAUAAUGACGGUACCCGCAGAAGAAGCUCCGGCUAACUUCGUG
rnacentral:rRNA from 1 species